CGGUCUCUAACAGCUACAACUGUGCUUUCACUUUGAAUUAAUUAACAUGGUUACCACUUACCACAUCCUGAUCCAACAUUACUUAUGAAAAAAAUGGCCUAAUUAAAAACUUGCCUUGGUAACACGUCCUAAUCCAACAUUUAAUUUGGUAAUAAAAUAUGGCCGAAAAAAUUAUCUAGGUAGCACAUCCUUACGGUCUUACCCUUGCUUACAACCUUUUCUUUAAGGGUUAAUUACAUAGUUGUGUCUUCACUAGUAAUUUCACAUAUUUGUCACCCAGAGAAUAUAUAUUAGUACGGGAAUCAGGCUGGCAUGAACACAAACCAACAGGAUAGAUGAACAGAUCGAUGAAAACCAUCGCCAGAGAAUCAGCCAAUCCACACAUAGUUACAACCAUGUCCAUGUCUCCAGAGCAGACACUAGCUAGCCACAGCAAGAACAGUACAACUAGCAGGCAGAGGCAGUAAAAAAUUAAUUAAGCACAUAAUAAAAGAUACAGCACUAAUCCGAAGGGGAAGCUAAUCAAAAGGGGUGCAGGGAAUAAAUCGGGAUGGCCGGUGGAGCAGAUUAGCCGGCGUAGAUGUGGACGCCGAUGGCGAUGAGGAAGAUGGUGAUGAGGGCGAAGUAGAUGACGGCGUGGACGAGGACGGCGACGCCGCUGGUGUGCAUGGUGCCGAAGCCCACGAUCCGGCCGUGCGCCGGCAGCUGGAACAGCAGCCCCGGCGUGAGCAGCACGAACAGCACCGUCGCGAUCACCACCGGCCCCCAGUCCGCCAUCGAUCUCCUCCGCUUCACCUCACCGGAGACUUCCCUCUUCUCCGAUCGCCGGCCGGCUCGGUCCACUGAGGGAAGGAGGAGAGGAGAUGAGUGUAGUUAAUGAACGGCAGGUGGAGAAGU
rnacentral:lncRNA from 1 species